rnacentral:rRNA from 1 species
CGAACACAGAAGUUAAGCUCCUUAGCGCCUAUGAUACUUGGUGGGUGACUGCCUGGGAAAGCGGGUCGUUGCCGGUU